UUGAGCAAUGCGCAUGUGCGGGA
rnacentral:miRNA from 2 species